rnacentral:rRNA from 1 species
UACGGAGGGGGCUAGCGUUGUUCGGAAUUAUUGGGCGUAAAGAGCUCGUAGGCGGUGUGUCGCGUCGGCCGUGAAAACCUGCAGCUUAACUGUGGGCGUGCGGUCGAUACGGGCAUCACUGGAGUUCGGCAGGGGAGACUGGAAUUCCUGGUGUAGCGGUGAAAUGCGCAGAUAUCAGGAGGAACACCGGUGGCGAAGGCGGGUCUCUGGGCCGAUACUGACGCUGAGGAGCGAAAGCGUGGGGAGCGAACAGG